rnacentral:rRNA from 1 species
UCUAGCAUAUCAAUAAGCGGAGGAAAAGAAACCAACAGGGAUUGCCCUAGUAACGGCGAGUGAAGCGGCAACAGCUCAAAUUUGAAAUCUGGCUCUCUUUGGGGGUCCGAGUUGUAAUUUGCAGAGGAUGCUUUGGCAUUGGCGGCGGUCUAAGUUCCUUGGAACAGGACAUCGCAGAGGGUGAGAAUCCCGUACGUGGGCGCCUGCCUUUGCCGUGUAAAGCUCCUUCGACGAGUCGAGUUGUUUGGGAAUGCAGCUCUAAAUGGGAGGUAAAUUUCUUCUAAAGCUAAAUACCGGCCAGAGACCGAUAGCGCACAAGUAGAGUGAUCGAAAGAUGAAAAGUACUUUGGAAAGAGAGUCAAAAAGCACGUGAAAUUGUUGAAAGGGAAGCGCUUGCAGCCAGACUUGCCCGCAGUUGCUCACCUAGGCUUUGGCCUGGGGCACUCUUCUGCGGGCAGGCCAGCAUCAGUUUGGGCGGUUGGAUAAAGGCCUCUGUCACGUAUCUUCCUUCGGGAUGACCUUAUAGGGGAGGCGUAAUGCAACCAGCCCGGACUGAGGUCCGCGCAUCUGCUAGGAUGCUGGCGUAAUGGCUGUAAGCGGCCCGUCUUGAAACACGGACCAAGGAGUCUAACAUCUAUGCGAGUGUUUGGGUGUCAAGCCCGGGCGCGCAAUGAAAGUGAACGGAGGUGGGAACCCUUUGGGUGCACCAUCGACCGAUCCUGAUGUCUUCGGAUGGAUUUGAGUAAGAGCAUAGCUGUUGGGACCCGAAAGAUGGUGAACUAUGCUUGAAUAGGGUGAAGCCAGAGGAAACUCUGGUGGAGGCUCGCAGCGGUUCUGACGUGCAAAUCGAUCGUCAAAUUUGGGCAUAGGGGCGAAAGACUAAUCGAACCAUCUAGUAGCUGGUUCCUGCGAGUCC